AGUGAACGCUGGCGGUAGGCCUAACACAUGCAAGUCGAACGGCAGCACAGUAAGAGCUUGCUCUUACGGGUGGCGAGUGGCGGACGGGUGAGGAAUACAUCGGAAUCUACUUUUUCGUGGGGGAUAACGUAGGGAAACUUACGCUAAUACCGCAUACGACCUACGGGUGAAAGCAGGGGAUCUUCGGACCUUGCGCGAUUGAAUGAGCCGAUGUCGGAUUAGCUAGUUGGCGGGGUAAAGGCCCACCAAGGCGACGAUCCGUAGCUGGUCUGCGAGGAUGAUCAGCGACACUGGAACUGAGACACGGUCCAGACUCCUACGGGAGGCAGCAGUGGGGAAUAUUGGACAAUGGGCGCAAGCCUGAUCCAGCCAUACCGCGUGGGUGAAGAAGGCCUUCGGGUUGUAAAGCCCUUUUGUUGGGAAAGAAAAGCAGCAGGUUAAUACCCCGCUGUUCUGACGGUACCCAAAGAAUAAGCACCGGCUAACUUCGUG
rnacentral:rRNA from 1 species